rnacentral:RNase_P_RNA from 1 species
GGAGUCGGCCGGGCCACCGCCGCGAAGCGAUUCGGGGAGGAAAGUCCGGGCUCCACAGGGCAGGACGCUGGGUAAUCCCCAGGAAGGGUGACCUUCGGACAGCGCCACAGAAAGCAAACCGCCCCCCUUGGGGGGUAAGGGUGAAACGGUAGGGUAAGAGCCUACCAGAUGCCGCGGUGACGCGGCAUGCUCGGCAUACCCCGUCUGGAGCAAGACCAAAUAGGGAAGGAGGCUGGCCCGGCCAAUCCUUCCGGGUAGGUUGCUUGAGGGUGCGGGUAACCGCACUCCUAGAGGAAUGGUGGCCUCAUGCGACCAAGGCAUGACAGAACCCGGCUUACAGGCCGGCUCCCGUU